rnacentral:piRNA from 1 species
AGCACACAAUUGUCUAUGGAGAUGAUGAGG